rnacentral:rRNA from 1 species
UACGGGGGGGGCAAGCGUUGUUCGGAAUUACUGGGCGUAAAGGGCGCGUAGGUGGCCAACUAAGUCAGACGUGAAAUCCCUCGGCUUAACCGGGGAACUGCGUCUGAUACUGGAUGGCUUGAGUGUGGGAGAGGGAUGCGGAAUUCCAGGUGUAGCGGUGAAAUGCGUAGAGAUCGGCAGGAACACCCAGGGGGAAACCAGUCGACUGGGCAUCUACUGACGCUGAGGUGCGAGAGCGUGGGGAGCGAACCGG